AUUUUUGCCUGUUCAGCGUCGAGGAGGACUUGGAGUGUUUGACUCCUUCACAAUUCUCACCUCGUUACUCCUUGCCUUGUAUCCUCUUUGCCUUUUUGGUACUGAAGAUUGACCCUAGGGCCUUUCUGCUGAGCCGCAAGUCCAGCCUUUUUAUUUUAUUUUAAUUUUUGAGAAUGUUUUGCUAAAUCUCUUAAAUUGUUCAGGCUACACUUGAACUUGUGAUCCUCAUGCCUUAUCCUCUCAGAAUGCUGGUAACAAGUAUGUGUCGCCACAUCCGGCUUCCUGGCCUGUCUUCAGGUGUGCACCUUCCCUAGGACGUCUUUCAGAUGGGGUUCCUAAGCCCUCAGAUAAGUGUUCUUCAUGAAUACGAUGGGAGCAGAGGAAAGCAAAUGAUUCAUUCACUCAACAGAUUUCAUUGGAUGUCUGCACCUGAGCCUGGAGCGAUGGGACAGUGCGCAAAAGAGGCCUGCAAAAGCUAACGUUUGAAGUGGGAACUACAGCGUUUAUGUUUCAGGUCUUUCUAAAUGUAGGAGGAGAAGUUUAUGGAUGGUCACAGGGAAGAGUUCUGGCUAGCAGCACAAAGAUCAGGCCAGGUUAGGCUGGUGCAGAGGAACCAAGAAAAGAACAGAUGGUUCGAAAAGCAGAUGGGUCCCAGAAGGUCAUAUGGCUGGGGCUGAGAAAGAGUGAAGAGGUGUUGGCCCCACAUAAGAGUCUGGCCUUCUGGCUGGGGAUUUAGCUCAGCGGCAUAAGUACCUGCCUUGCAAGCAGGCAGUCGUGAGUUCGAUCCCUGGUACCGAAAAAGACAAAAAAAAAAAAAAAAAAAAAAAAGAGUCUGGCCUUCCAACUGGAGGGCAAAGGGAAGUUGUUGGCCUGUGAGCAAACUGUGGACACAGCCUUCUUGGUAGAUUCCUUGAUAACUGGUGUGGACAAAACAGGUUUUUAGGGUGAUUGGAAUGGGAACAAAAGAUCAAUUUACGUGACUGUUCUUGGUGAGAGGUGGCAGCAGUCCAGUUGACUGGUAGCAGUGGCUGGAUUGUAUUUACUUAGGAGGUGAGAUUGUCAAGCCUACUUUUGCACUGGUUGUGGUGUGGAUGUUUGCUAACAUUUGUUGGGAAAUUUGACCCCAAAAGUUUGUUACACCCCAAAUUCAUAUGCUGAUGCUAAUUGGAGGUGGGAUGCCUGGGAGGCCAUUUGGUAGAUGAGAACAUGAAGGUGGGGCUCCCCAUGAUGGCUUACUGACUUUUUGAGAAGGAGAGACCUGAAGUUGUGCACUUGGUUUAUCUUGCCAUUUGAUAUCCUCUGCCCUGUCAUGAUGGAGCAGGAGAGUCCUCAUCAGACACCAGCAUCAGGCUCUUCCCAGCCUCUAGUACCUGAGCCAAACAGACUUCUAUUCCUUAUGAUGUCCCAGUGUCUGUUGUUACUACAAUAGAAAAUGGACUUCUGGAGACAAUCUGCAGAAAUGGCACCUUGCAAGGGGAAGGAAGAGAAAGAAAAGCAGAUCAUCAGCCUCAGGCUUCAGGUUGCUGAAGGAGAUAAUGUAUUUGGUGUCUUGUAAUACUUUGGCCCAUGUCACUGAUCUUUCUGGCAAGGAAACUGUUUGUCAUGUGACUGGCGGGAUGAAGAUGAAGGCUUACCACACAUUGCCAUGUUGGCUUCCCAGGAUAUAUGUGACCCAGAAGUGCAAGGAGUUGGGCAUCAGUGCCCUGCAUAUGAAACUCUGGGCCACACGAGGAAACAGAACUAAGACCCCUGGACCUAGUAUGCGGUCAGCCUUUGGAGUGCUCGCUUGCUUGCUUGGGAAUGAAGAUUGGGAGGGUUGAAGAUGUCACCCCAUCCCCUUCAACAGCACCUGCAAAAAGGAUGGUUCUGAGGAUUAAACGGAGUGACCCAGCCAGAGCCUUAGCAUGGGUCUGCAUAUCAAGAGCCUUAGCAUGGGGAUACAAGACCUGCUCCAAAGUAUUGGCUCCAUCCCCACCUCCCAUGCCGCACGCUUCUGCCACUGGACCUGGAAUGCUGGCAGCAGCUCCAGAUACACAGAAGGUGUGUCAGAGGCCUUACCAGCAGGCCCCAAACUUCUUUCCAGCCUGCCACCCCCUGGCCAAGGUGACCUUGCUCAUCAGGGCUGAGAGGAGCAGGGCGGGCAGCAGCAGUGAAUUCUCCUAGGGGAGACAGGGCAGGGAGACUGAGGGAGCUGACCUUUGAGCUGGGCCUAGGAGAGGAGAGGAACAGGGUGGGCAGGCACAGGAGAAAUAAAAAACAACAAAGCCUCAAGCGAUGGACGAUCACUGCUGGGGUGAGGAGUGGGCAGUGGCAGAAGUCAGGUGUGCUGGGAGCUAGGGGGGACCUGGAGGAGGCUGGUGAACUUAGCUGCCCAUGAAGUGGGGCUCGUGUGGUCAGAUCUGUGAUUUAGGAAGAGCAGGCUGGACCAGACAGGAGGCAGGGAGACUGGGAGGCCACUGAGUCAACCCGGAUGAGAGAGGGUGGUGGCUGGGACUAAGGCGGCAGCCACAAAGAUGAAAGAAAAUGGGGGGCUGGGGAUUUAGCUCAGCAGCAUAAGCGCCUGCGUUGCAAGCAGGCAGUCGUGAGUUCGAUCCCUGGUACCGAUAAAAAGGAAAAAGACAAAAAAAAAAAAAAAAAAAGAAAGAAAAUGGGAAGUUCUUAAAAAUACUGCAGUCAGUUGAACAGAAAGACUGGGGGAGCAGACUGGGAGUUGGGAGUGGGCAGCCGGGUGGACGGUGGACGUGGGCAGGGAUGAGCACUCGAUGGGAGCAGUCCAGGUCCUGGAAGGGCUGGGGAACAGCGAAAAGGACACCAAGAGGGAGGAGAGGACGCUGAAUCUAAAACGUGUGGAGUCUCAGGGUGUGCACCCCAGGCCUGCGCUGUGGAAGGCAGAACCCAGGCAGGGGCAUCAGGGAGCACAGGAAGUUGAGCCAGAUAGUGCGUGCAUGUGUGUAUGUGUGUGUGUGUGUGUGUGUGCGCGCGCGCGUGUGUGUGCACACACACGUGCACAUGGACAUGUGACUGGGAUUGAAUCCAGACUUCACACUGAGCUGCAUUCUAGCCCCUAGUUAAAUUUGUGGGGUGGUUACUGGGGAUCAAAAGCACAAUCUCAUGUUUGCCAGGCAGGUACUUGAGCCACUGAGCUAAAACCCCAGCCCGUCUAUGUUAAAAAUGUAACGUUAGGGUCUUAAUAAGUCACUAGAUUGACCAGGCUUGGCUCAAACUUAUGAUCGUCCUGCCUCAGCCUCUCAGAGGCUGGGAUUGCAGGAAUGGGCCAGCACAUCAUGGUUUGGGAGCUGCUUAAUUUUUUUUUUUUUUUUUGGUUCUGGGGAUCAGACUUACAACCUCAGGCUUGCCAGGCAGGUGCUUAUACUGCUGAGCUAAAUCCCUGGCCCUGGAUGCUUGAAUUUUUGAAGAAAGGAACAAUCUUGGAUCAUAUUGCCAGGGAAGUGAGUUGGAUAGGUGGGUGGGGACUGCCUUUUAUUUUUGUGAAAAAAAUAAAACAAAAUUUUAUAACAAAAAAUAAGAGAAUAACAACAGCUAACAUACCAUGUAUCAUUAUCUUCGAAAUAGUUACUCAAAAAACAAGAGAUUUCUCCCACAAAGAAACAGAUAAUUGCACAAAACUUUCUUUUCAAUGAAGAGGGGAUACUUUUUAGCAAGGGGCGUGAAUCCAGGGGAAAGAGGAACUUUGGUGGAAAGUUCAUUCAUCCACCAACACAACCUCAGUGAAGCACUGUGAUAUUCUGGGGAGAGCAGUGAUAAAGCCCCUGUCCUUGUGAGAUGUACCUUUAUUAUACACAGUUUGAUUAGAUAGAAAUUAAUAUAUAGGGCUGGGGAUUUAGCUCAGCAGCAUAAGCGCCUGCCUUGCAAGCACGUGGUCAUGAGUUCAAUCCCCAGUAUAAAAAAAAAAAAAAAAAAAAAAAAAAAGGAAAGAAAGAAACUAAUAUGUAGUCAGAGAGGAACUGGGCUCUCAAGGAAGUCAACAUCUGAAGACCAGACCCCAAGGGAAAGAUGCCCCGGCUGGUGCAGUUAGACCGUGAGAAGUCUGUGCCAAGUACAGCAGACCUGUGAAUGCAUCAGUUCGGCUAGUGAGCUGUCAUAGUAAAUACAUUUUUGAAUAUGACUAUUGGUGUAUACAGAAAGUUUUACUCGCAUUUCAGCCUCAGUGUGUUUCACAGCAUCUCACAGCACUUCGCCUGUUACAGCUCCCAGCAGUGAACAGCAGUGCUGGCUUCUGUCCAGUGUGCUUCAGCCCUGCCGAGGCCCUCACUGCAUUUUCGGACCUAGGCCUAGCAUCGGAUCUUUCCAUUUGGUUGUGGCCAUUCACAGCAUUUCAACCAGUCAAAUACAUAUUUAUGUUGCUGUUUUCUUUGUCAUCUGAUUCAAGGAGGCCUGCAUUCCCUGUGUCUGUGUCAGUCAAUUCUGACUCCACUUCACUGUCACAGGAACUUUGGUUCACAUGGUGCACAUCAAAUUCGUCAUCAUCAUCAUCAUUACCAUCAUCCAGCCGUAACACUCUUGGGUUAUGAAAGCACGCGUUUUACCAUAAUGGAUCAUCUUUACCACCCAUGCAUGAGUAAUCUGAUGAUUCACUUUUUACCUCCCCCAAAACUCGCAUAUCUGGCUUUUCAUGUGCCAUUGUACUCAAUUGGGCUACUUGUCCCAGAACAAUCAAAAGAAAAAAUUUUUGAAAAACAAAUCCUAGAGUGGUGUGGGUCUAUUGGACCCUCUAUGAUGCUUGGGUAAAUAUAUGGGAGAACCAGUUAGAGCACAAAAGUGGGUCCAAAUCUAUUUUGCCCCUUUUGCAUAUAGGCCCACUCCUUAUCGAUCACCAUACCAAGUGGGUAAACACAUAGAUUGCUUCUUGUGCCCCUCAGGGACGGGUACUGAGGUACACAGCGAGCUACUCUAAGGCUACGGUACAAAUUUACAGUAGAAAAGUAAGGGAGGGGUUCACUGGAUCGAGGCUUAUGCCUCAAGUUAAAUGCUCGAUGGUUAAGUCUUUCUUGGUCUUUGGAUUCCAGUUCCACCCCUCCAGCUGGGUGACUUGGACUAGUUAUUUUCCUGUGCUUGGCUCUUGUUACCUAUAAAACGGGGAUGAUAAUAAUAUUCACUUUGUGUGGUUAUUUGAAGACUAAAUAAAGUUAAUAUAAACUGGA